CACAAGCAGUGGAGUAUGUGGAUUAAUUCGAAGCAACGCGAAGAACCUUACCAGGUCUUGACAUCGUAUGCAUAGCUCAGAGAUGAGUGAAAUCUCUUCGGAGACAUAUAGACAGGUGGUGCAUGGUUGUCGUCAGCUCGUGUCGUGAGAUGUUGGGUUAAGUCCCGCAACGAGCGCAACCCUUACUGUUAGUGCUACGCAAGA
rnacentral:rRNA from 1 species